AAUCCAUAGGUUAAUGAGGCGAACCGGGGGAACUGAAACAUCUAAGUACCCCGAGGAAAAGAAAUCAACCGAGAUUCCCCCAGUAGCGGCGAGCGAACGGGGAGGAGCCCAGAGCCUGAAUCAGCAUGUGUGUUAGUGGAAGCGUCUGGAAAGGCGCGCGAUACAGGGUGACAGCCCCGUACACAAAAGCGCAUGUGCUGUGAGCUCGAUGAGUAGGGCGGGACACGUGGUAUCCUGUCUGAAUAUGGGGGGACCAUCCUCCAAGGCUAAAUACUCCUGACUGACCGAUAGUGAACCAGUACCGUGAGGGAAAGGCGAAAAGAACCCCGGCGAGGGGAGUGAAAAAGAACCUGAAACCGUGUACGUACAAGCAGUGGGAGCCCCACCACUAAGCCAGUGGUGAACUCCACAUACGCAUCCUUUGCUGAGGAUACGGUUAACGGAGCGAAAGCGACGUUCAACCGCAAAACAAGCAGAGGGGGCUUAGUGGUGGGGUGACUGCGUACCUUUUGUAUAAUGGGUCAGCGACUUAUAUUCUGUAGCAAGGUUAACCGAAUAGGGGAGCCGGAGGGAAACCGAGUCUUAACCGGGCGUUAAGUUGCAGGGUAUAGACCCGAAACCCGGUGAUCUAGCCAUGGGCAGGUUGAAGGUUGGGUAACACUAACUGGAGGACCGAACCGACUAAUGUUGAAAAAUUAGCGGAUGACCUGUGGCUGGGGGUGAAAGGCCAAUCAAACCGGGAGAUAGCUGGUUCUCCCCGAAAGCUAUUUAGGUAGCGCCUCGUGAAUUCAUCUCCGGGGGUAGAGCACUGUUUCGGCUAGGGGGCCAUCCCGGCUUACCAACCCGAUGCAAACUGCGAAUACCGGAGAAUGUUAUCACGGGAGACACACGGCGGGUGCUAACGUCCGUCGUGAAGAGGGAAACAACCCAGACCGCCAGCUAAGGUCCCAAAGUCAUGGUUAAGUGGGAAACGAUGUGGGAAGGCCCAGACAGCCAGGAUGUUGGCUUAGAAGCAGCCAUCAUUUAAAGAAAGCGUAAUAGCUCACUGGUCGAGUCGGCCUGCGCGGAAGAUGUAACGGGGCUAAACCAUGCACCGAAGCUGCGGCAGCGACACUCAGGUGUUGUUGGGUAGGGGAGCGUUCUGUAAGCCUGUGAAGGUGGCCUGUGAGGGUUGCUGGAGGUAUCAGAAGUGCGAAUGCUGACAUAAGUAACGAUAAAGCGGGUGAAAAGCCCGCUCGCCGGAAGACCAAGGGUUCCUGUCCAACGUUAAUCGGGGCAGGGUGAGUCGACCCCUAAGGCGAGGCCGAAAGGCGUAGUCGAUGGGAAACGGGUUAAUAUUCCCGUACUUGGUGUUACUGCGAAGGGGGGACGGAGAAGGCUAUGUUGGCCGGGCGACGGUUGUCCCGGUUUAAGCGUGUAGGUGUGUGUUCCAGGUAAAUCCGGUU
rnacentral:rRNA from 1 species